UUGACCUCGGAUCAGGUAGGGAUACCCGCUGAACUUAAGCAUAUCAAUAAAGGGGGAA
rnacentral:rRNA from 1 species